UAAGGAAUAUUGGUCAAUGGACGCAAGUCUGAACCAGCCAUGCCGCGUGGAGGAUGAAGGCCCUCUGGGUUGUAAACUUCUUUUAUUUGGGGACGAAAACACUUCAUUUCUAUGGAGCUUGACGGGACCAGAUGAAUAAGCACCGGCUAACUUCGUG
rnacentral:rRNA from 1 species